rfam:Danio rerio chromosome 4, GRCz11 reference primary assembly.
GGUUCCAUGGUGUAAUGGUUGGCACUCUGGACUCUGAAUCCAGCAAUCUGAGAUCAAAUCUCAGUGGGACCU